rnacentral:rRNA from 1 species
CCUACGGGAUGCAGCAGUGAGGAAUAUUGGUCAAUGGACGAGAGUCUGAACCAGCCAAGUAGCGUGAAGGAUGACUGCCCUAUGGGUUGUAAACUUCUUUUAUAUGGGAAUAAAAUGUUCCACGUGUGGGAUUUUGUAUGUACCAUAUGAAUAAGCAUCGGCUAACUCCUUGCCAGCAGCCGCGGUAAUACGGAGGAUCCGAGCGUUAUCCGGCUUUAUUGGGUUUAAAGGGAGCGUAGGUGGAUUGUUAAGUCAGUUGUGAAAGUUUGCGGCUCAACCGUAAAAUUGCAGUUGAAACUGGCAGUCUUGAGUACAGUAGAGGUGGGCGGAAUUCGUGGUGUAGCGGUGAAAUGCUUAGAUAUCACGAAGAACUCCGAUUGCGAAGGCAGUUCACUGGACUGCAACUGACACUGAGGCUCGAAAGUGUGGGUAUCAAACAGGAUUAGAUACCCGGGUAGUC